rnacentral:rRNA from 1 species
UUCCCUUCGGGGCUUCUGCAAGGUGCUGCAUGGUUGUCGUCAGCUCGUGCCGUGAGGUGUCGGGUUAAGUCCCAUAACGAGCGCAACCCUUAUCGUUAGUUGCCAUCUGGUAAUGCAGGGGACUCUAGCGAAACUGCCACCGUAAGGUGAGAGGAAGGUGGGGAUGACGUCAAAUCAGCACGGCCCUUAUGUCCAGGGCUACACACGUGUUACAAUGGUCGGUACAGAGGGCAGCUACCUGGUGACAGGAUGCUAAUCUCGAAAACCGGUCUCAGUUCGGAUCGAAGUCUGCAACUCGACUUCAUGAAGGCGGAAUCGCUAGUAACCGCGAAUCAGCAGGUCGCGGUGAAUACGUUCCCGGGCCUU